AAAAGCAAUUUGUCAAAAAACAAUCGAAAUAAGCUGAAAAGAAGCACGGUCAAUUUUCAUAUUUGAGAUCAUUGUUACACGAAAUAAGUUUCCAUAGCCCUCAGCUAGAUUUGAUUUCAAAACGAAAAAAUAAGCGAAUACUUGAAGUCCCGAAUUAUAGUCCCUGAUUAUAGUAUAUAGGCACAUUUAGACGAUAUCGCUACUCGUAAACGAUCAGUGCACACGCUCAUCCGUUAUACCCGUAUACCUGCACGUAUAUGCGUAACCAAUAGUCUACUGCAAGUAGGCACUUAUUUUAUCGUUAUCCACCGUUUGUGCGAUU